UCAACCGGAAGUGACGCUAUUGUAGGAAGUGUUUAGCGAUGCGCGGGAGUUUAUUAUUGCUAUAAAGUUGGAGUUGUAUUAAUGUUUCUCUUUCAUUUAAAUAAAUAACAUUUCAGCGAUUUGCAGAAUGGCUCAGUUAAACGAAGUGGACUUACCGCCGAACCUGUCAUGUCUCAAAAGCAUAGACACUCUCCUUCGUUGUCCUAUCUGCUUUGAUUUUCUCAACAUCACCAUGAUGACCAAGUGUUCUCACAAUUUUUGUUCUCUGUGCAUACGGAAGUUUCUCUCCUAUAAGUUGUUGUGUCCUGUUUGUAACUUGCCAUCAACAGAACAAGACCUGAGGAACAACAGAUUAAUAGAUGACUUAGUUCAGAGCUUCCAAGCAGCAAGGCAAAACUUGUGUCACUCAAAUUUGGAAUCACCCCCUAUUUCACCUGAAACCCCGGCUAUGAUGAUCAAAGGCAAAGCAGCAAGACAGAAGGGCCUCAAAAGGGAAGCAAAAACCCUCAGUCAUUUUUUCCAGAAGAAGACCCCUGUGACUUCCUCAUUACGGACCCAAACAAGUCUUGAGGUUCACAUGCCAGUCAAAUUGGAACGUGUUGAGGUGUGUAUUCAACAGCUAGACAACAUCAAGCAAGAAAAUGUGGACGAUACAAGGGGAAUGGUGAAAGACGAAAAGAUGGAUGUAACUGCUUUCCCCUCCACGUCACAAAAUAAGCUGCUGGUUAAAGUGGAAUGUCCUGUCUGUGGAGUAGGUGUGUCCGAACAGCACAUUAAUAAACAUCUGGAUAUGUGCUUGAGCAGAGACGAUAAGAAGGAGGGGUUGAGAAGUGGUGGAAGGCGAAAGGGGAUGCCCAAGCUCUUGUACACUUUGAUUUCUGUUCCAAAGCUCAAGAAGAUGCUUAAAGAAUGCCACCUGUCCGCUCAAGGCAGCAGAGAACAGCUAGUGCGACGCCACCAGGAAUUCACCCAGAUUUAUAAUGCACAGUGUGAUGCACUCAACCCCAAAUCAGCUGGAGAAAUUGCCAAAGAAGUUGAAAACAACGAGAGGUUGAAGAAUCAGUUGGAGAAUAAACGAAAACCUUUAAUUGUCACAACGAAGAAUCAGGCAGCUGAAGAAAUUGAGGAGUUACACUCAAAGUACCAGUGUCUUCAGCGUCAGAAUGACUUAUGCAAGAAGAGAAGCAGAUCAGAUACAGCUGGGAAGCAGCACAGUAGCGAAUUUUCCCGUUUGAUUGCCCAGGUCAGAGGUCGUCUGGAGACAUCCAAGAGAGCACCGAGCAAACAAGAAGAGAAGUCUACAGAGGAGACAGACUCCAAAGGUGCACCAAGCAGUAUUCAGAACACUCCCCAGCCUCUCAUUUCUACAAUGCUGAAAGUAAAGAGUGAGGAGAUGGAGGGGGUAAUUGAGCUUCCAACAAGAUCAUCAAGCCCUACAAUUACUGAAGUGUCAGACAGCAGCUCCAUCUCAGAUAUUUUCUGUUGAUGACAUGGCAGCAGCUACUCAGAGUAACACUUCCCUGAAGCAGUGGCUGUGACAUCUAUACACAGCGAGUGAAUUCUCCUCUGCAGAAGUCCAGAGCAGCCGGUUACAGAGAGGUCUCGACUCUCAUAGAGAAGAUGUUUGAAGACCCUGUGAAGAGACAUCCCCAGUUCAUUAAGUGACGAGUAUCAGUUUCGAGGUUUUUCUGAGCUGAAUGUGUGGUCUAAAUGUCUGAUCCAAUUUCCACCAUAUUAUGUACAGUAAUUUUUUUUUAUCAUUUCAGUAUUAUGUUUCCUCCAAUAAAACAGAAAAAAACAA